GUGGGGAAUAUUGGACAAUGGGGGGAACCCUGAUCCAGCCAUGCCGCGUGUGUGAAGAAGGCCUUUUGGUUGUAAAGCACUUUAAGCGAGGAGGAGGCUACCGAGAUUAAUACUCUUGGAUAGUGGACGUUACUCGCAGAAUAAGCACCGGCUAACUCUGUGCCAGCAGCCGCGGUAAUACAGAGGGUGCAAGCGUUAAUCGGAUUUACUGGGCGUAAAGCGCGCGUAGGUGGCCAAUUAAGUCAAAUGUGAAAUCCCCGAGCUUAACUUGGGAAUUGCAUUCGAUACUGGUUGGCUAGGGUAUGGGAGAGGAUGGUAGAAUUCCAGGUGUAGCGGUGAAAUGCGUAGAGAUCUGGAGGAAUACCGAUGGCGAAGGCAGCCAUCUGGCCUAAUACUGACACUGAGGUGCGAAAGCAUGGGGAGCAAACAGGAUUAGAUACCCGAGUAGUCC
rnacentral:rRNA from 1 species